rfam:Bacteroidetes bacterium RIFOXYA12_FTLL_38_20 rifixya3_full_scaffold_85, whole genome shotgun sequence.
AAUUUUGUGGAAAGAUUUGGAUUGAUUGCAACCACGAUAAAAAAUGCUAAAAACAAUACU